rnacentral:rRNA from 1 species
UACAGAGGUCUCAAGCGUUGUUCGGAUUCAUUGGGCGUAAAGGGUGCGUAGGCGGCGGGGCCAAGUCAGGUGUGAAAUCUCGGGGCUCAACCCCGAAACUGCACUUGAUACUGCCUUGCUCGAGUACUGGAGAGGAGACUGGAAUUUACGGUGUAGCAGUGAAAUGCGUAGAUAUCGUAAGGAAGACCAGUGGCGAAGGCGAGUCUCUGGACAGUUACUGACGCUGAGGCACGAAGGCCAGGGGAGCAAACGGG